rnacentral:tRNA from 1 species
GCUCAGUUGGUAUAGCACAAAGCUCUUAACCUUGUGGACGUGGGUUCAAUCCCCGU